AUGGAAGCACUAAAAAUUCAGUAUAAGGAAGAAAUGGAAUGCAGAGAGGACAUGCUGAGCUGCAACCAAGAAUACAUCAAAUGUACAAAACAAAACAAACAACAAACUGACGUAAAUGGCAAGGGAUUCCACAUUACAUCAUCCACAUUCAAACAAAAUAAAAGUUUCAGAAACAGCUCUAAGUUUUGCCCAUCAAAUUCAUUAUUCUUUCAUCAAAUCCGUACCAUGAAAACACCGGAAGGGGCGAGGAAGGAAGGCUCGCGGCGUCGAAGGGCCGCACAAUUUCGCCUCGCCUCGCAUCGCGUCGCGGAGGGGGGGCGCAUUACGGGAUGUCCCAGGGCUUGGGCUCGGGGAGGGCGACGACCAUCCCCUGGUGCUCCUUGCCGAGCACGACCUGGCAGCCGAGGCGGGCAUGCUUGUUGA
rnacentral:rRNA from 1 species